rnacentral:rRNA from 1 species
UACGAAGGGGGCAAGCGUUGUUCGGAAUUACUGGGCGUAAAGCGCGUGUAGGCUGUUCGGAAAGUCGGGUGUGAAAGCCCCGGGCUCAACCCGGGAAGUGCACUCGAAACUCCCGAACUGGAGUCCUGGAGAGGAAGGCGGAAUUCUCGGUGUAGAGGUGAAAUUCGUAGAUAUCGAGAGGAACAUCGGUGGCGAAGGCGGCCUUCUGGACAGUGACUGACGCUGAGACGCGAAAGCGUGGGGAGCAAACAGG